GACAGAGGGGGCAAGCGUUGCUCGGAAUCACUGGGCGUAAAGGGCGCGUAGGCGGGAUGGCAAGUCAGUCGUGAAAUCUCUCGGCUCAACCGAGAAACGUCGGCUGAUACUGCCGUUCUUGAGGGAUGCAGAGGAGACUGGAAUUCCCGGUGUAGCGGUGAAAUGUGUAGAGAUCCGGAGGAACACCAGCGGCGAAGGCGGCAUCCUGGACUGGUCCUGACACUCAUGAGCGAAAGCGUGGGGAGCGAUCCGG
rnacentral:rRNA from 1 species